GUAGUGGGCCGUUCGAAGUCACAUGGAGUUUGUUAUAGAGAAUGGAGUGGUGUCCGUUAUCGUGACUUGCCGAGGAGUUCGGGUUGAACGAUUGAAGCUCGAUUGGGAUGUCUGGUGGAGCAAAAUAGCUCUCUGUCUCAGCAAUCUAAGAGAAGCUCAGAUGUUUUCGAGGUUGCUGACGGGUUAACUGUUAUUGGGUGCCUUAGGCGUUGAUGCUGCA
rnacentral:lncRNA from 1 species